UGGGGAAUAUUGCACAAUGGGCGCAAGCCUGAUGCAGCCAUGCCGCGUGUAUGAAGAAGGCAUUCGGGUUGUAAAGUACUUUCAGUCGGGAGGAAGGUGGUAAGGUUAAUAACCUUAUCAAUUGACGUUACCGACAGAAGAAGCACCGGCUAACUCCGUGCCAGCAGCCGCGGUAAUACGGAGGGUGCAAGCGUUAAUCGGAAUUACUGGGCGUAAAGCGCACGCAGGCGGUUGAUUGAGUCAGAUGUGAAAUCCCCGGGCUUAACCCGGGAAUUGCAUCUGAUACUGGUCAGCUAGAGUCUUGUAGAGGGGGGUAGAAUUCCAGGUGUAGCGGUGAAAUGCGUAGAGAUGUGGAGGAAUACCGGUGGCGAAGGCGGCCCCCUGGACAAAGACUGACGCUCAGGUGCGAAAGCGUGGGGAGCAAACAGG
rnacentral:rRNA from 1 species